CACAUCAACAAUCAACAUUGUAAUAGUAAAAUUAACAAUAAAAAAAACAACAAAUCAAACAAACAUCGAGUCUGUUUGCCUUUGCGGAUGACCAUGAUCUGGAUGACUGAGAAUCUGCAAACACAAUUUCUAGCAAUGCCGCCUUAGACUCCUCAUUGGGAAUGUCACUUGGGUUUGUAAUUGGUGUCUCGGAAGUCACAGGACUCUUUAAUUGUUCUUCCACACUCGUCUCAAUUAAAACUGCUUUCUCAGUUCCAGAAGUUUCUACUGGGACAUCAGCGGCCUCACAUGUCUGUUCCUGGAUGGAUUUGUCAAUAGAUGUCUCCUGCUCCUCCAAAGUGGGUGAAGGUGACAGCACGGUCUCCACCAUUGUCUGUGUUUGCUCCUCUGCCGAUUCUUCAGGACAAGUCGCAUCCUCUUCCAGAUCAGGAAGGUCCGGUUCGAUAAUGAAAUCGUCUUCUCCCACUUCAUCAACUGUUAGAAAUUCCUCCAUGUUCUUGGGAUAACAACACUCGUCAUCAGUGUUGUCUCCACUUUCCAACCCCUUCUCCUUGCAAAAUGCCUCGAGUGCCUGCUGUGGUCGCUGCCAUUCCUCCUUUUUGACUUGCUAUCGUGUCUUUGGUACGGAGAUCUGGUCACCUUGUCGGACUUCAUGUAGAAGCUUUCCUCCAUGCUGCGGUAGGAGUUGAAGGACUUGCUUUGAGGGCUGCCUCGCGGGAAGUCUCUGUUUCCAGUCACGCCUUUAUCUCCUCGCUCAUCUGCAGACCUGGAGAUGACGUAAUCCGAGGGUUUCCCGUAUGCUUUCCGCCGGUCGGCUAGCCGAUCGUUGGGGCGGUCAGCUGGCCGUUCGUUAGGCCGACUGCCGUCAGUGCUCCAGCCAUUCCGCCUGGAGGGUUCAUCCCUCUCCUUGUCAUCCUCACCUCGUCUAUAGUGUGAAGACCAGUCCCAAGAACCUCGGCGUAGGCCCAGGCCAUUACUGCCUCUCUCCUGAGCUCUGCAUGGUGCCGCUUGGGGGCUGUGGGCUGAGCUGCAUGAUGUGAAACUGGGACUGUGUGAGUGAGGGCUCAGGGAGCUUCUGACGGGGCUGCGGGAACGGGCUCUGUCUGGCAUGUAGCUGGAGGACGGUGAUAGGUAAGUUAAAUGAAAAAAACAGUUGUCUUGUGAUAUUCCACAGAGGUUCAACAUAACGAAUAACUUGCUUGCCUUUCCUGACUUCAGACAUAAGGUAUUGUAUGAUCUUGCCACUAUCAUGUAAAAGUGACAUUUCAACCAUACAGGGUAGCUAACUAACUGUUGCUGUCUGGGAUGAAUAAUUAAAUAUCUGUUAUGUUUUUCAUUUUCCAGAUAGAUGAAUCAUUUCCUUACUGCUCAAGUUCUUGCAUUACAUCUCUUUCCCAAUGAGAAGCAAUUUCUUGGAUGACUGCCUGAACAUCUUUACCCGGUUUCUAUAAAAAUAAGAAAUUACAGAAAUUGGAUGGAUGAAUUAAGCAGUUGCCAUUUUUUGGAACUUUGAUAAUAAUGCAUACACAUUUUAGUCUAGUCUACCUUUAGUUGGAGCUCCUGGUACCUUUUAGACAUUCGAAUCAGAAGUUUCUGAUUGUUUAUCAUGGCUGGAGUCAGUUGGUAGUACUGAACCAUGGCUUGAGCUGCUUCGAUAUAGGCCAUCUCCAGAAAGGCCUAAUUGGAGAGAACAUAAACAAAUCGACUCAGCAGUUGUUUUACUUUUCAUAUUAUUGUAUAUUCAGAUGCGGGCUUCACAUUCUGACUCUGCACUAAAUUUUGGUGGUGAUAUCAAGGUUGUGGUCCAGUUUUGACAUGAAACCUUAGACCCUGAGUGCCACAUCGAUAGCCAGUGAAUUACAAUUUAAAAAAAUGCCACCCUAAUGUAUGACCAGUACAGUGUUUACUCCAUGUGCAAUAGUCAUAGGAUCUGCACACCAGUAUUGAACUCAGUGGAGGGGACUUUGAGAUUGAGUACAGACAGUGCCCUGCCAUUUCUUCAAAGUCACACAAGCACCUUUAUCUUCAAACACUUUAGACAGGCCCUUAUUUUAAAGCUUAUAAAUUUUAUAGUAUAAGCAAACAAGUGAAAAACAUGAAAGCAAUAAUUUUGCUUUUGAUUCAAUUUUUCAUGAUCUGAGGUUAAAUAUCUCAAGCGUUUUUUCCUUGUACAAAAGGCCUACUUCUCCUUUGGAUAUUGUUCAAAGAUCUGUCUAAAUCUGUAAGUGAGCACGUCUCUCUUGCCGAGAUAAUCCCUCCACCUCACAGGUGUAACAUAACAAGAUGCAGAUCAGACAGCAUGAUUAUUGCACAGGUGUGGAACUACAGCAGACCCCAUAAUUCCAACUUUUUAGUUCUUUUACU